GAGUUUGAUCCUGGCUCAGAACGAACGCUGGCGGCAUGCCUAACACAUGCAAGUCGAACGGGAUCCGGCUCUUCGGGGCUGGUGAGAGUGGCGGACGGGUGAGUAUCGCGUGGGAACCUGCCCAUUGGUCUGGGAUAACCGCGGGAAACUGCGGCUAAUACCGGAUGCGCCCGAGAGGGGAAAGAUUGAUUGCCGAUGGAGGGGCCCGCGUCGGAUUAGGUAGUUGGUGGGGUAACGGCCUACCAAGCCUGCGAUCCGUAGCUGGUCUGAGAGGAUGAUCAGCCACACUGGGACUGAGAUACGGCCCAGACUCCUACGGGAGGCAGCAGUGGGGAAUAUUGGACAAUGGGGGCAACCCUGAUCCAGCAAUGCCGCGUGAGUGAUGAAGGCCUUCGGUUGU
rnacentral:rRNA from 1 species